AGAGUUUGAUCCUGGCUCAGAAUCAACGCUGGCGGCGUGCCUAACACAUGCAAGUCGAACGCGAAAGUCCCGCAAGGGAUUAGUAGAGUGGCAAACGGGUGAGUAACACGUGGGUGACCUGCCUUCGAGCGGGGGAUAACGUUCCGAAAGGAACGCUAAUACCGCAUGACGUCCUGGGUUUAAAGACCUGGAGACCAAAGCUAGGGACCGCAAGGCCUGGCACUUGAAGAGGAGCCCGCGUCCGAUUAGCUAGUUGGCGGGGUAACGGCCCACCAAGGCGACGAUCGGUAGCCGGCCUGAGAGGGCGGACGGCCACACUGGGACUGAGACACGGCCCANACUCCUACGGGAGGCAGCAGUGGGGAAUUGUUCACAAUGGGCGCAAGCCUGAUGACGCAACGCCGCGUGGGGGAUGAAGGCCUUCGGGCCGUAAACCCCUGUCGAAUGGGACGAAUAACUUCCGGAUCAAUACCCCGGGAGGAAUGACGGUACCGUUUAAAGGAAGCCACGGCUAACUCUGUGCCAGNCAGCCGNGGUAAUACAGAGGUGGCAAGCGUUGUUCGGAAUUACUGGGNCGUAAAGGGCGCGUANGCGGCCUUCUAAGUCAGACGUGAAAUCCCCCUGCUUAACCUGGGGACUGCGNUCUGAUACUGGGGANGCUAGAGUAUGGGAGAGGGAUNUANAAUUNCAGGUGUACGGGUNAAAUGCCUA
rnacentral:rRNA from 1 species